UACAGAGGUGGCAAGCGUUGUUCGGAAUUACUGGGCGUAAAGCGUGCGCAGGCGGUUAUGUAAGACAGGUGUGAAAUCCCCGGGCUCAACCUGGGAACUGCAUUUGUGACUGCAUCGCUGGAGUGCGGCAGAGGGGGAUGGAAUUCCGCGUGUAGCAGUGAAAUGCGUAGAUAUGCGGAGGAACACCGAUGGCGAAGGCAAUCCCCUGGGCCUGCACUGACGCUCAUGCACGAAAGCGUGGGGAGCAAACAGG
rnacentral:rRNA from 1 species